AGCAAACAGGAUUAGAUACCCUGGUAGUCACGCUGUAAACGAUGUCGAUUUGGAGUUUGGGGGCAUGACCCUUGGGCUCCGGAGCUAACGCGUUAAAUCGACCGCUGGGGAGUACGGCCGCAAGGUUAAAACUCAAAUGAAUUGACGGGGGCCCGCACAAGCGGUGGAGCAUGUGGUUUAAUUCGAUGCAACGCGAAGAACCUUACCUGGUCUUGACAUCCAUAGAAUCUUUCAGAGAUGAGAGAGUGCCUUCGGGAGCUAUGAGACAGGUGCUGCAUGGCUGUCGUCAGCUCGUGUUGUGAAAUGUUGGGUUAAGUCCCGCAACGAGCGCAACCCCUAUCCUUUGUUGCCAGCACGUAAUGGUGGGAACUCAAAGGAGACUGCCGUUGAUAAAGCGGAGGAAGGUGGGGACGACGUCAAGUCAUCAUGGCCCUUACGACCAGGGCUACACACGUGCUACAAUGGCGUAUACAAAGGGAUGCGAAGGUGCGAACUGGAGCGGACCUCACAAAGUACGUCUAAGUCCGGAUUGGAGUCUGCAACUCGACUCCAUGAAGUCGGAAUCGCUAGUAAUCGUGAAUCAGAAUGUCACGGUGAAUACGUUCCCGGGCCUUGUACACACCGCCCGUCACACCAUGGGAGUGGGUUGCACCAGAAGUAGAUAGCUUAACCUUCGGGAGGGCGUUUACCACGGUGUGGUUCAUGACUGGGGUGAAGUCGUAACAAGGUAACCA
rnacentral:rRNA from 1 species